rnacentral:rRNA from 1 species
GGAAUAUUGGUCAAUGGGCGCAAGCCUGAACCAGCCAUGCCGCGUGCAGGAUGACGGUCCUAUGGAUUGUAAACUGCUUUUGUAACGGAAGAAACACUCCCUCGUGAGGGAGCUUGACGGUACUGUAAGAAUAAGGCUCGGCUAACUCCGUUCCCGCAGCCGCGGUAAUCCGGAGGAUCCAAGCGUGAUCCGGAAUCAUUGGGUUUAAAGGGUCCGUAGGCGGUUUUAUAAGUCAGUGGUGAAAUCUGGUCGCUCAACGAUCAAACGGCCAUUGAUACUGUAGAACUUGAAUUACUUGGAAGUAACUAGAAUAUGUAGUGUAGCGGUGAAAUGCUUAGAGAUUACAUGGAAUACCAAUUGCGAAGGCAGGUUACUACGAGUACAUUGACGCUGAUGGACGAAAGCGUGGGGAGCGAAC